CCUUGCAUCGACUACAGACAGGACAUUUUCCUGCACAUGCAACCAGCUGUUUCAUUAUUCCUACACAAGUACCACCACAACACUGGCGAAAGAUCAAUUCUUCGGAAAUCAAGAGACCUCAGUGGACCCACACAAGAGCUCAGGAACAGCGGAGAGCAGGGACUUCUCUCAUCACCUGGAAAGAAACUAGCUGACCAGAACCCAUAAGAAACAGCUAUAAAAGAGGUAUGCCUAUAAUUAGACACAUGUUAAGUGUAAGAUCCAUGAUCAGGUAGAGACACUUCAAACUAAUAUUUUCUACAACCUAUCCACAUCUGGCUGCACCCUUAGCAUUAAUACAAUUCCUGUAGGAACUGACAUCCUGACAUGUUACUUCUGACAGCUAAUAACUUACUCCUGUUACAUCUGACUCAUUGUGGUAGAUUCAUCCUUGUCUCUGUAAUAGAUGCCAGCCAGCAGAUAUCUGUAUUCAACCUUAGCAAACCGUGGCAGUUAAAUUGUAGGUAUGAUGUGAUCAUUACAAAAAUAGUAUUCUCUGUGUGUGUGUGUGUGUGUGUGUGACUGUGAGUGAGAGAGAGUUUCCAGCUGUUCAUGCUACAGUGGCUGUGCUGUGGAUACUGUGCCAGGUGUCAACAUGCAUGGACCAGACCACAAAUACCAGGUGUUAAUGCCACAGUAGCUGAUGCAGAUGCUGUGCCAAAUGCCAGCAUGGAUCUGCCGGAUCACUAACCGCAUGUGUCUACAUCAGAUUGGGGAGUUGGACACUGUGUAUGCCUGAUGUACAUCAGAAGGCUUUCCAGGCAGGCCGACCAGACCAAUUGG